AUGGUGGCUGUUCGGAUGCCGGCGAGAAUUCGAUUCAGGUUGCAAGUGGAGUGGUGGCAGAAGAACAUCAUUUAUCAUGUUCGAAGGCUUUGGCUUACCAUUGGUACACGUUUUGGAAAUCGUAAAAUUGAAAUUGAUCCCUCAAAUGAUCUAGCUGGGAAAUCCAUUCGCCGGCUAGAGACCCUUGCUGCAGUAAAACGGGAAAAGAUGAAGGAAGAAAUGAUUGGCUGCUUCUGGUUCUAUACCAAGUGGAGAGACAUAUAG